rnacentral:lncRNA from 10 species
AGACUGUCCACACGGAGCAGAGGCGGGCACUCCCUCCACCCGGCACCCUGCCUUUUUCUCACCCUGGAAGUCUCCUGCCCCCGAGGCGGGCAACCUGUGUCCCCCAGCCCCACCAGCGCCCCGCCUAGGGACAGCCUCUCCCUGGACUUUGCCUUCCACCAAGAGGAAGAACAGACCAACUUCCGAGCAAUCGGCGGGAGAAAAAAAGAGAAUUCGGAGCCAGAUUCCCCGCUGAUGAACACUCCGGGGUUCGGAGCUGGAGACGACUCCCCUUCUACAAGCGCACGCGGAGUAUUUCCUCUUUUUUCUCAAUGAACAAGAGGCCGAAGCGCCAACGGCAAGUCCCUUUUCCUGGCAGAUGAGCGAAUGGGAAAAGAAAACGGCCUUACGGAGAACCUAAAGCCAGAUCGCCAAGUGGUGCGGCCGGGGCCGCGUCGUAGCGGAGGC